UUUUUUUUUUUUUUCUUUUUUUUUUUUUUUUUUUUUAAAGAUUUAUUUAUUUAUUUAUUAUAUGUAAGUACAUUGUAGCUGUCUUCAGACACUCAGAAGAGGGGGUCAGAUCUUGUUACGGAUGGUUGUGAGCCACCAUGUGGUUGCUGGGAUUUGAACUCUGGACCUUCAGAAGAGCAGUCGGGUGCUCUAACCCACUGAGCCAUCUCACCAGCCCUUGCUAUGAAUUCUUAAUUAAGUCAUUAAAGUGUAAGGCAUUUUUAUCUGGCGUGUAUGUGAGCCCCGAGUCAUUCUGUGUUUUUAGGAUAACUUCUAGAUACUUACAUGAUGAGUCUGUGCCCACAUUAGUGCCAUUGUUAUUACCAUUUGCUGUACAUUUGAAUUAUUUAGCUAAGAGAUGUUUUAAUGCCAGUAAGGAACUUAAUUGGAAGCUUAGAAAGAACUGUACUCUGAUGCCUGAGGAUCCUCUGAGACUGUAUAGUGAGUGUCUGUACUUAUUUCAGUGAUGACAGAUAAGUCUGUCCUUAUGGAGGUGUCAGAGCAGGGUUCCAGAGGUGUGCCCCCUAUACUAGUCCCUAUAUGAAGGGCUAGAAUUACAGUGAGCCUUAUACUUUCUCAGGGCAUUUGUUUCUUGAGCUAUUUCUAAUUUUCUGAGUGUUUGCUUUGCAGACCUGCCUAUCGCCCUCUGACUCUCUUACCCUGUGCCUCUUUCCCAUUGCUGCUAAAAGCAGAGCCCCGAGGGGCCUGAACCCGGCCUGAUGGUGACCAUGUGAGGUGAAGCCUUAGCCCAGCAGGUCCUGGGAAUGUGCUUCUACGAUGUUCCCAGGCACUUGCUGCCCCAGAAGGCAGUGUGCUGGGAGGCAUAGUGAGGCUAGGCCAGCUUUCUGCCAGUUGAAGAGUUUGUCUUGAUGACUUAGGUAGCUGGUCAGAAAGGAGAGAGAUUUGAGAAUAGUUCCUUUAAGCUGUGUUUAUGUUAAGACAACCCCAGCCUUCCUGUAUCUAUAUGGCAUAUACUCCCACCAACAGUUAUUUUUACAGUUAUUUAUCACUUUCAGGACUAUACUGAGAAAAUCAUACGUGAGGCCAGUUUUGGUGACUUUUUUUUCCCCCAUUUUGCUUUUCAGCCCAGACUAUAAUGUGGAGUUUUUUCGACAGUUUAUAUUGGUCAUGAAUGCAUUAGAUAACAGAGGUAAGGCGAUUAAUGUUUCAUGUCUCAUUGCUUCCUCUUCCCAUGGCAAAGUGUUAGAGUUAGUGUCCAAGUGUGAGUUAGAACUUGGGAGGUGGCACACUCCUUUAAUCUCAGCACUUGGGAGGCAGAGGCAGGCAGAUUUCUGAGUUUGAGGCCAGCCUGGUCUACAGAGUUCCAGGAUAGCCAGGACUACACAGAGAAACCCUGUCUCGAAAAAAAAAAAACCAAAAAAAGAACUUAAGAGACC
rnacentral:lncRNA from 1 species